GCCCCCGUAGCUCAGGGGAUAGAGCAUCGGCCUCCGGAGCCGUGUGCGCAGGUUCGAAUCCUGCCGGGGGCACCA
rnacentral:tRNA from 2 species